rnacentral:tRNA from 1 species
GCCGCCGCGGGCGCGGGCGCGGCGGGCGCCCGCGUCGGGGGCGCGGCGGGCGCGUUGUCCCGCCCGCCGUACAGCUCGGCGGCGGUGGCG